CAGUAGCCGCGGGAAUACAGAGGGUGCGAGCGUUAAUCGGAUUUACUGGGCGUAAAGCGUGCGUAGGCGGCUUCUUAAGUCGGAUGUGAAAUCCCUGAGCUUAACUUAGGAAUUGCAUUCGAUACUUGGAAGCUAGAGUAUGGGAGAGGAUGGUAGAAUUCCAGGUGUAGCGGUGAAAUGCGUAGAGAUCUGGAGGAAUACCGAUGGCGAAGGCAGCCAUCUGGCCUAAUACUGACGCUGAGGUACGAAAGCAUGGGGAGCAAACAGGAUUAGAUACCCGCGUAGUCCCUGUCUCUUAUAC
rnacentral:rRNA from 1 species